CGCAGUCAGUCGGCUGGUUUAAACACGUCUUACUGCUCCCACAGCCUGCGCUGGAGAUGCUGGAGGAGGUGGAGGUGACUGAAGUGGAAAUGGUACCAGUCUUAAGGAAAACAAUCCAAAACAGUUAUAAUGCCAGAGGCGGCGGUGGUGAGGAAAAACUCCCUGAGACGGUAUGAGGAAGAAACCUUGAGAGGAACCAGACUCAAAAGGGAACCCAUCCUCAUCUACUACACAGGACAGUGCAAUUAUAAAUAAAUCCCUUCUAGAACUCUGUACUACAUGGACAAAUAAUGCAAUCGUGUAACCAGGAAAUUUAUUACAGUUUUCAAAUGAAGUCUGUUUUGUUGAACCUAUCCACUGUCCACUGAUGGAGACCUGAGUGCAAAACUGCUCGUGGCAAACGCAGCCCCAAAGCCACCACAGCAAUCGCAGUACCCAGCCAUCACAGUACAGCUCCCCAUAUGAACCGCAGUCCAAAGCCAUCUCCACAGCCCCCAAACGGCACCAUCCCCAGCAAUCCCAAUGAUCUUCAGGCCAUCCAUAUGGGGCCACCCCCAGCAGCAGUGAGCGAACUCCAACUGAUGAGAACUCCAACCAGACAGGAAGGGGUCAGGAUCACAGGAUCACUGGUGCUGCUGUCCACUGUAACAGUGUACGGCGCUGCACUGGUCUGAGCCACGGUUCCAUGAGAAGGAAGCAUGUUAUCACAACUGGAAGAAACCUUACCACCGGGGUAACUUUCACACACCCUCAAACACCCCAG